UGGAGUUGUGGUCCAACUCCACCCCACCUCCCAUCGUGCUUUUCACCCACAAAAAAUCCUGUACGGCUCCUAGCUUCGCUCCAUCCAUGGCGCGGCCGCCUAGCCCCGCUCCCUCGACGGCCCAUCGAUCCUGCCGCAUUUUCUCCACGGCGUGGCUGCCGUGCUUUGCCGUGGCGGCGGCCCCGAUUCCUAUGCUCGAUUCGGCCCUCGAUUUGGCGCUUGAUUCGGCGCUUGAUCCGGCCGCAGCACGCGUGAGGAUGGGCCCAAGCUCCUGCCGUCCACCUCCUCGCCGGCCGCUCGAUGACGACGGCGCGGGGCAACCUGGGCGGCCAGGAGGACGCGGUAAGAACGGAGAAGGCAGGGGGCCGGCGACAUCCCAAGGCUGACUCCAAUCGUGGCAUGUGGCCGCGCAGGAGGUCGAGUGGCCGGCUCGCGGGAGCACAGGUCCGCUCGCUUGGGAGGAGCGUGGGAGCAGCCCAUGCUCUCCAAACGCGUUGAUGUAUUUCUGGCUGGAUCGCUGGAGCCUGAGAUCUCUUAUUUCCUUCCUGCUACGUGAACUUGGGUGAAUCGCUCUGAUGCUCCUUGGAGCCUUCGAGCUGAUCUCAAUCUCCUAUAAAAUCUUCACAGUUUCUUUGCUGCUAUGGCAAGUCCUACUGCAUCAAACCAUCUCAGCAGUUCCAGCUUCGCUUUGUGAGCAAUUGGCAACUAGGAUUUUUCACUGAAUUCUAUCAAAUUUGUUGCAGAUAAAGAUUUACCUAUGAGUCAUUUCAGUUUGUGAGAUCAAGAUACGGUGAUGUUCCACGCUCCGCAUCCAGGAUGAUCUGCACUGCGUCGUCGGCGCCGUCCCGCCUCCGUGGGCGGUUUGGGCAGACAAGGACACGUUCGACCUUUCUGUCCUAGUUUUUCCCCUUUUUCUUCUCCUCUUUUUGUAUUGCAUUUUUAUUGAUCCAAUUUUCACAUGAUAAUUCAUUUGAUCUGUGUUGACACUGAAUAAACAUGGAUGAAUCUCACGAUUUGUAUUUGAAUC